AUGAAAAUGUUUGAAGAAAUGCUGUAUUGUAGAAAGACCACCAUAAUAAAUGUUAGAUACAUAACCCAUACUGCAUGCAAAUCUCCCCAAUCUCAGACAGAUAUAAAUACACUGCAAGUACACAGCAGUCUUUGUGUUUGGUCAAGUACAGGAGAGGAAUCAUGAGCUGGCCUCUUCUUCUUCUGAUAUCCUCUGUGCCCUAUGAGCAUGGCAUCAGUCUGACCUCGUCUCCUGCUGAGGUUAAACCUCCCGGAGCCUCAGUGAAGUUAUCCUGUCAGAUUUCUGGCUAUGCCCUCACUAGCUACGGCACAGGCUGGAUAAAACAGCCUCCAGGAAAAGGCUUGGAGUGGAUCUGGAUCAUAUGGGGUGGUGGAAGCAUAAACUCUGGAGCUUCCUUUAAAACUCGCUUCAGCAUCUCCAGAGACACGAGCAACAAUGUGCUUUACUUAGAUAUCAGCAGCCUGGUGUCAGAAGACACGGCUGUUUGUUAUUGUACAAAGACACACAGCUGUACAUCUCAGUGAGAGGACUGAACAAAAAUCAAACCUCAAAUAUGUGUGAAGUAUAUUUUGAGUUAAAACCUAAAAGUACAAUUUAUGGAAAUCCAUCACAUCCUAUGUACAUAAAGAAAUAUUAAUUGAUUAUAGUCAAGAUUAAAGCACAGUAAAUAAUGAAUAGAUAGAAACAUCCGAUCUAACAUUCCACUAGUAGUGCAAAUUAUUUAGCUUUUUCACAGACAAUGAAAUUUUCCUAAAUGUUUGACUAGCACUGUACAUAUUUAUAUUUAGGUUUUGUAUACUUAAAUAUCUGCACAUUAUGCUUUCCAUUAUGUUUUAAGUCCUCUGAGAGGCGCUCUUUCUCUACUUACACAGCAUCUACCCAACAUGUUGAGGUUAAAAUGACUGAAAGAUUAAAAGGACUGAGAGAGAACUGAUGUCCUCCUGGGAUUUUCG